rnacentral:rRNA from 1 species
ACAUGCCUAUACCAUAGUGUUAAUGCACUGAAUCCCAUUAUAACUCCAUAGUUAAGCAUGCUCAAGCUAGAGUAGUACUGGGAUGGGUGACCGCCUGGGAUGUCCUAUUGUUUUGCAUGCC